GGAGGUCAUCGCGAGAGUCGAAGGGCCCGCGGGCCUACCCGCCGGUCGGCAGCCUGGGGUGAACCGCGGGAAAGUGCCACAGAAACCAACCGCCGGGCGUACGCGCCCGGUAAGGGUGAAACGGUGGGGUAAGAGCCCGCCAGCGCGCCGGGUGGCCGGAGCGGCUUGGUAAACCCACCCGGAGCAGGGCCAAAAGGGUCACCGCCGGUGGCUACGUCAACUCUCGGGCGCCCUCAACGACUCCCACGUCGCCACGAGCGCCGGAUCUGGUGGGAUCCUGACAUCGUCGGGCCGGGUGACCUCGUCUC
rnacentral:misc_RNA from 1 species